UACGAAGGGGGCUAGCGUUGCUCGGAAUCACUGGGCGUAAAGGGUGCGUAGGCGGGUCUUUAAGUCAGGGGUGAAAGCCUGUGGCUCAACCACAGAAUUGCCUUCGAUACUGGACGGCUCGAGACCGGAAGAGGUCAGUGGAACUGCGAGUGUAGAGGUGAAAUUCGUAGAUAUUCGCAAGAACACCAGUGGCGAAGGCGGCUGGCUGGUCCGGUUCUGACGCUGAGGCGCGAAAGCGUGGGGAGCAAACAGG
rnacentral:rRNA from 1 species